rnacentral:rRNA from 1 species
UAGGGAAUCUUCCACAAUGGACGCAAGUCUGAUGGAGCAACGCCGCGUGAGUGAAGAAGGCUUUCGGGUCGUAAAACUCUGUUAUUGAAGAAGAACGUGUGUGACAGUAACUGGUCAUGCAGUGACGGUAUUCAAUCAGAAAGUCACGGCUAACUACGUGCCAGCAGCCGCGGUAAUACGUAGGUGGCAAGCGUUGUCCGGAUUUAUUGGGCGUAAAGCGAGUGCAGGCGGUCUUUUAAGUCUGAUGUGAAAGCCUUCGGCUUAACCGAAGAAGGGCAUCGGAAACUGGGAGACUUGAGUGCAGNAGAGGAGAGUGGAACUCAUGUG